rnacentral:lncRNA from 1 species
AACGCGUUCGACUCCUCUCCAAGAACUUGCGGCAAUGUCAUGCGAAUUAGGGUUUUAGAAGGAGCAAUGUCGUGCGAAUUACGCUUUCGACUCCUCAUAUUUCUUCACAUUUCUUCACAAAAGUAAAAAAAAAAAAAUCUUACAAUUUCUUAAGAAGAGCCACAGACAACUGAAAAUCCUUCUAAAACUGAAGUACCCCUACACCUUGUCCUAUCCACCAAUUUAUCCACCAAUCACAUAUGUAAAAAACCAUUAAAGAUCUAUCAGGCAAUCAUAAAUAAAAAUAAAAUGACGUAACAAACAGAAAAAUAAAUACCUGGAUCAACCUCCACAUUUUUAUAAAGGUACAAAAUCCAGGAUCCUAUUAUCAGAAUAAAUGUCCCAACACCAACACCGAGAAGGUAUACUACCAAGUCAUACUGUCCCAAGUCUUCCUUCCAAACUUCUACCGGAUCUGUAAUAGCCACUUGAAAAAAAGAAGCAACGGCAUACAACAGGAGAGAGUAAAAAUGGUUGCGUUUUACUGCAUUUGAAUCCACCGAGUCACCGUCGUUAAAGUAGGUGCGCACUAAACCAGCGGUGACGAUUGCCGAGCACACGUGUGCCAUCAACUCACCAAAAUAGCGUCCUUUCUCAGAAACCCCCAACAAAAAAAAGAAAGUACUAUGAAAAUAUGAAUGGUUGAAACGACGGAAGUAACAAUGCACAACAGUAAGAGAUGGAUCUUGGAGUCGGAGUGUGUGGCGGGAGCAUGCUGAAACUCAAUUACAGAAGCUUUAACAAAAAGGAGAAGAUUCAAUAUUCAAACAGUAAUAUCCGAAAAAGCAAGAACUACAUCCGUGCACACAACAGACCAGGUAAAAAAGUUUCGUAAACAGAUUGAAAACCAAGUAUCCCCAAUUAAGAACAGCAAACAUCAGCAAGUAAAACCAUAGCAAUAUAAAGCAAAAAUAAGAAAUCUAUAAGGAUUGUCACCAUUCAAACUUCAGGGAUAUCGAAAUAACGUCACAUUUGAUUUUUAGGAUAGAAUUGAGCCAACCAAUUAUCUUAUUCUUUUCUAUCACUACUUCCGCACAAGUAAAACCAUAGCAAUAUAAAGCUAAAAUAAGAAAUUUAUAAGAAUUAACAAUCAAUCUCACCAUCCCAACUCCAGAGAUAUCGAAAUAGCAUCACAUUUGAUUUUCAAGUUAGAUUUGAGCCAACCAAUUAUCUUAUUCUUUUCUAUCACUACUUCCGCACAAGUAAAACCAUAGCAAUAUAAAGCACAAAUAAGAAAUCUAUAAGCAUUAACAAUCAAUCUCACCAUUCUAACAACAGGAAUAUCGAAAUACCAUCACAUUGGAUUUUCAAGUUAGAUUUGAGCCAACCAAUUAUCUUAUUACUUUCUAUCACUACUUCCGCACAAGUAAAACCAUAGCAAUAUAAAGCACAAAUAAGAAAUCUAUAAGCAUUAAGAAUCAAUCUCACCAUUCCAACUCCAGGGAUAUCGAAAUACUAUCACAUUUGAUUUUCAAGUUAAAUUUGAGCCAACCAAUUAUCUUAUUCUUUUCUAUCACUACUUCCGCAUAAGUAAAACCAUAGCAAUAUAAAGCACAAAUAAAAAUCUAAAAGGAUUAAAAUUCAAUCUCACCAUUCCAACUCCAGGGAUAUCGAAAUAACAUCACAUUUGAUUUUCAGGUUAGAUUUGAGCCAACCAAUUAUCUUAUUCUUUUCUAUCACUACAUCCGCACAAGUAAAACCAUAUCAAUAUAAAGUAAAAAUAAGAAAACUAUAAGGAUUAACAAUCAAUCUCACCAUUCCAACUCCAGGGAUAUCGAAAUAACAUCAAAUUUGAUUUUUAGGUUAGAUUUGAGCCAACCAAUUAUCUUAUUAUUUUCUAUCACUGCUUCCGCAUAAGUAAAACCAUAGCAAUAUAAAGCAAAAAUAAGAAAUCUAUAAGAAUUAACAAUCAAUCUCAUCAUUCAAACUCCAGGGAUAUCGAAAUAACAUCACAUUGCAUCAAUAGAAAAUGAAGAACAAAGCGUGCAAGAAGAUGAAGUUCUAUAUUGUAACGUACAUUGACAUAAAAGAUCAAAUUAGACCCAUAUAGGAAGAUGAAGAAGAUGAAUUAGAAGAAGAUGAAGAACCUACCCAUAAAAUGUCUGAGGAUUGGCCCAACGCGUUCGACUCCUCUCCAAGAACUUGCGGCAAUGUUUUGCGAAUUAGGGUUUUAGAGGGAGCAAUGUCGUGCGAAUUACGCUUUCGACUCCUCAUAUUUCUUCACAUUUCUUUACAAAAGUAAAAAAAAAAAAAAUCUUACAAUUUCUUAAGAAGAGCCACAGACAACUGAAAAUCCUUCUGAAACUGAAGUACCCCUACACCUUGUCCUAUCCACCAAUUUAUCCACCAAUCAUAUAUGUAAAAAACCAUUAAAGAUCUAUCAGGCAAUCAUAAAUAAAAAUAAAAUGAAGUAAUAAACAGAAAAAUAAAUACCUGGAACAACCUCCACAUUUUUAUAAAGGCACAAAAUCUAGUAUCUAUCAUCAGAUUAAAUGUCCCAACACCAACACCGACUAGGAAUACUACCCAGUCAUACUGUCCCAAGUCUUCCUUCCAAACUUUUACCGGGUCUGUAAUAGCCACUUGAAAAAAAGAUGCAACGGCAUACAACAGGAGAGAGUAAAAAUGGUUGCGUUUUACUGCAUUCGAAUCCACCGGGUCACCGUCGUUAAAGCUGGUGGGUACUAAACCAGCGGUGACGAUUGCCGAGCACACGUGUGCCAUCAACUCACCAAAAUAGCGUCCUUUCUCAUAGACCCCCAACAAAAAAAAGAAAGUACUAUGAAAAUAUGAAUGGUUGAAACGAUGGAAGUAACAAUGCACAACAGUAAGAGAUGGAUCUUGGAGUCGGAGUGUGUGGCGGGAGCAUGCUGAAACUCCAUUACAGAAGCUUUAACAAAAGGGAGAAGAUUCAAUAUUCAAACAGUAAUAUCCCAAAAACCAAGAACUAUAUCCGAGCACACAACAGACCAGGUAAAAAAGUUUCGCAAACAGAUUGAAAACCAAGCAUCGCCAAUUAAGAACAGCAAACAUCAGCAAUAGCAACAGCACAAGUAAAACCAUAGCAAUAUAAAGCAAAAAUAAGAAAUCUAUAAGGAUUGUCACCAUUCCAACUUCAGGGACAUCGAAAUAACGUCACAUUUGAUUUUUAGGCUAGAUUUGAGCCAACCAAUUAUCUUAUUCUUUUCUAUCACUACUUCCGCACAAGUAAAAUCAUAGCAAUAUAAAGCAAAAAUAAGAAAUUUAUAAGAAUUAACAAUCAAUCUCACGAUCCCAACUCCAGAGAUAUCGAAAUAGCAUCACAUUUGGUUUUCAAGUUAGAUUUGAGCCAACCAAUUAUCUUAUUAUUUUCUAUCACUACUUCCGCACAAGUAAAACCAUAGCAAUAUAAAGCAGAAAUAAGAAAUCUAUAAGGAUUAACAAUCAAUCUCACCAUUCCAACUUCAGGGAUAUAGAAAUACCAUCACAUUUGAUUUUCAAGUUAGAUUUGAGCCAACCAAUUAUCUUAUUAUUUUCUAUCACUACUUCCGCACAACCAAAACCAUAGCAAUAUAAAGCACAAAUAAGAAAUUUAUAAGUAUUAAGAAUCAAUCUCACCAUUCCAAUUCCAGAGAUAUCGAAAUAUAUCACAUUUGAUUUUCAAGUUAGAUUUGAGCCAACCAAUUAUCUUAUUCUUUUCUAUCACUACUUCCGCACAAGUAAAACCAUAGCAAUAUAAAACACAAAUAAGAAAUCUAUAAGGAUUAACAAUCAAUCUCACCAUUCCAACUCCAGGGAUAUCGAAAUAACAUCACAUUUGAUUUUCAGGUUAGAUUUGAGCCAACCAAUUAUCUUAUUCCUUUCUAUCACUGCUUCUGCACAAGUAAAAUCAUAGCAAUAUAAAGCAAAAAUAAGAAAUCUAUAAGGAUUAACAAUCAAUCUCACCAUUCCAACUCUAGGGAUAUCGAAAUAACAUCAUAUUGCAUCAAUAGAAGAUGAAGAACAAAACAUGCAAGAAGAUGAAGUUCUAUAUUGCAACGUACAUUGACAUAAAAGAUGAAAUCAGACCCAUAUAGGAAGAUGAAGAAGAUGAAUUAGAAGAAGAUGAAGAACCUACCCAUAAAAUGUCUGAGGAUUGGCCCAAUGUUUUCGACUCCUCUCCAAGAACUUGCUGCAAUGUCGUGCGAAUUAGGAUUUUAGAGGGAGCAAUAUCGUGCGAAUUACGCUUUCGACUCCUCAUAUUUCUUCACAUUUCUUCACAAAAGUAAAAAAAAAAAAAAAUCUUACAAUUUUUAAGAAGAGCCACAGACAACUGAAAAUCCUUUUGAAACUGAAGUACCCCUACACCUUGUCCUAUCCACCAAUUUAUCCACCAAUCUCAUCUGUAAAAAACUAUUAAAGAUCUAUCAGGCAAUCAUAAAUAAAAACAAAAUAAAGUAACAAACAGAAAAAUAAAUACCUGGUUCAACCUCCACAUUUUUAUAGAGGCACAAAAUCCAGGAUCCUAUCAUCAGAAUAAAAGUCCCAACACCAACACCGACUAGGAAUACUACCCAGUCAUACUGUCCCAAGUCUUCCUUCCAAACUUCUACCGAGUCUGUAAUAGCCACUUGAAAAAAAGAUGCAACGACAUACAACAGGAGAGAGUAAAAAUGGUUGCGUUUUACUGCAUUUGAAUCCACCGGGUCACCGUCGUUAAAGCAGGUGCGUACUAAACCAGCGGUGACGAUUGCCGAGCACACGUGUGUCAUCAACUUACCAAAAUAGCGUCCUUUCUCAGAGACCCCCAACAAAAAAAAAGGAAGUACUAUAGAAAUAUGAAUGGUUGAAACGACGGAAGUAACAAUGCACAACAGUAAGAGAUGGAUCUUGGAGUCGGAGUGUGUGGCGGGAGCAUGUUGAAACUCCAUUAAAGAAGCUAUAACAAAAGGGAGAAGAUUCAAUAUUCAAACAGUAAUAUCCCAAAAACCAAGAACUACAUCCGUGCACACAACAGACCAGGUAAAAAAGUUUCGCAAAUAGAUUGAAAACCAAGCAUCCCUAUUUAAGAACAGCAAACAUCAGCAAUAGCAAAGCACAAGUAAAACCAUAGCAAUAUAAAGCAAAAAUAAGAAAUCUAUAAGGAUUAACAAUCAAUCUCACCAUUUCAACAUCGGGGAUAUCGAAAUAACAUCACAUUUGAUUUUCAGGUAAGAUUUGAGCCAACCAAUUAUCUUAUUCUUUUCUAUCACUACAACAGCACAAGUAAAACCAUAGCAAUAUAAAGCAAAAAUAAGAAAUCUAUAAGGAUUAACAAUCAAUCUCACCAUUUCAACAUCGGGGAUAUCGAAAUAACAUCACAUUUGAUUUUCAGGUAAGAUUUGAGCCAACCAAUUAUCUUAUUCUUUUCUAUCACUACAUCCGCACAAGUAAAACCAUAGCAAUAUAAAGCAAAAAUAAGAAAUCUAUAAGGAUUAACAAUCAAUCUCACCAUUCCAACUCCAGGGAUAUCGAAAUAACAUCACAUUUGAUUUUCAGGUUAGAUUUGAGCCAACCAAUUAUCUUAUUAUUUUCUAUCACUACUUCCGCAUAAGUAAAGCCAUAACAAUAUAAAGCAAAAAUAAGAAAUCUAUAAGGAUUAACAAUCAAUCUAACCAUUCAAACUCCAGGGAUAUCGGAAUAACAUCACAUUGCAUCAAUAGAAGAUGAAGAACAAAGCGUGUAAGAAGAUGAAGUUCUAUAUUGUAACGUACAUUGACAUAAAAGAUCAAAUCAGACCCAUAUAGGAAGAUGAAGAAGAUGAAUUAGAAGAAGAAGAAGAACCUACCCAUAAAAUGUCUGAGGAUUGGCCCAACGCGUUCGACUCCUCUCCAAGAACUUGCGGCAAUGUCGUGCGAAUUAGGGUUUUAGAGGGAGCAAUGUCGUGCGAAUUACGUUUUCGACUCCUCAUAUUUCUUCACAUUUCUUCACAAAAGUAAAAAAAAAAAAAAAUCUUACAAUUUUUAAGAAGAGCCACAGACAACUGAAAAUCCUUUUGAAACUGAAGUACCCCUACACCUUGUCCUAUCCACCAAUUUAUCCACCAAUCUCAUCUGUAAAAAACUAUUAAAGAUCUAUCAGGCAAUCAUAAAUAAAAACAAAAUAAAGUAACAAACAGAAAAAUAAAUACCUGGUUCAACCUCCACAUUUUUAUAGAGGCACAAAAUCCAGGAUCCUAUCAUCAGAAUAAAAGUCCCAACACCAACACCGACUAGGAAUACUACCCAGUCAUACUGUCCCAAGUCUUCCUUCCAAACUUCUACCG